ensembl:lncRNA
GUGGCAAGCAUUUGUAAGGACGUACCUGACAGAGCAUUUGUUCCAUAGCUCACAGGCACAACGAGGUUGAGAGCUCUCCACUUGCUCAGCUGGUGGCCUAGCAUCCAGAUCAGCUAAAGGAUGACAUUUUUGGAGUGCUACAUCUGCAGAUCACAUCCAACAUACAUAAUGCCAUUUGGCCACCAAGUGGUUGUGGAUUUUUUAUUUAUUAGGUGUGCAAUGGGAAUAAUGAAUCCUGUGGAGACAGCCAGCUCAGACUUCAUCCUGAAGGAAUCAUGCACCCAGACAUGUUUGGUUAGCCCUCAAAUUUGCAGGUAUGGCUUUUCCCAGCAAUUCCCCAUGCCAGGCAAUGUCCCAGUAUCUUGUACUAGCAAAAGGGUAAAGCUGGCAGCAGUUGUCCCAGCUUUAAUCAGCACCAAGUUUUACAGCUGUUGUAUCCAGCUGCAGUCCUGUUAUCCAAGAAUUU